UACGUAGGGGGCGAGCGUUGUCCGAAUUUAUUGGGCGUAAAGAGCUCGUAGGCGGCUUGGCAAGUCGGGUGUGAAACCUCCAGGCUCAACCUGGAGACGCCACUCGAUACUGCCAUGGCUAGAGUCCGGUAGGGGACCACGGAAUUCCUGGUGUAGCGGUGAAAUGCGCAGAUAUCAGGAGGAACACCGGUGGCGAAGGCGGUUCUCUGGGCAUUACCUGACGCUGAGGAGCGAAAGUGUGGGGAGCGAACAGG
rnacentral:rRNA from 1 species